rnacentral:rRNA from 1 species
GACGAACGCUGGCGGCGUGCUUAACACAUGCAAGUCGAACGCUGAAGACCUGGCUUUUGUUGGGUUGGAUGAGUGGCGAACGGGUGAGUAACACGUGAGUAACCUGCCCUCUUCUUUGGGAUAACGCCCGGAAACGGGUGCUAAUACUGGAUAUUCACUGGCCUUCGCAUGGGGGUUGGUGGAAAGGUUUGUUCUGGUGGGGGAUGGGCUCGCGGCCUAUCAGCUUGUUGGUGGGGUGAUGGCCUACCAAGGCUUUGACGGGUAGCCGGCCUGGGACGGUGACCGGGCACGUUGGGACUGAGAUACGGCCCAGACGCCUACGGGAGGCGGCAGUGGGGAAGAUUGCACAAGGGGCGAAAGCCUGAUGCAGCGACGCCGCGUGAGGGAUGGAGGCCUUCGGGGUGUAAACCUCUUUCGCGCAUGGUCAAGCCGCAACUGUGGGUUGUGGUGAGGGUAGUGGGUAAAGAAGCGCCGGCUAACUACGUG